UACGUAGGGGGCAAGCGUUGUCCGGAAUUAUUGGGCGUAAAGAGCGUGUAGGCGGUCCGGUAAGUCGGUUGUGAAAGUCCAGGGCUCAACCCUGGGAUGCCGAUCGAUACUGCCGGACUAGAGUCCGGAAGAGGCGAGUGGAAUUCCCCGGUGUAGCGGUGAAAUGCGCAGAUAUCGGGAGGAACACCAAUGGCGAAGGCAGCUCGCUGGGACGGUACUGACGCUGAGACGCGAAAGCGUGGGGAGCAAACAGGG
rnacentral:rRNA from 1 species